UUUCACUCAUUAAUCUAUCUGUGAGUAGGAAAAGAAAAAUAAUUAGCCAAUAAGGAAAUAAGACGCCCAUUUCGUAUUUUGGCUUGAAAGUAAAAUUCCCCACUUUUCCUUUCUCCAUAAAAUUCUGUUCCUCUCUUUCUACCUGACCCGAAAAAUGGAGAAAACAUGAUACCCCCUUCUAAACUCAAAAAGUGGGCAUUACUUUCUUAACUAUUCGUCUCUCUUUCGCUCCCACUCUAAACUAAAAAGAGGAACAAUACCUCCCUCCCUCUCUUUCUCUCUCACUGUAAACAGAAUAUAUAAGAAAAGACUAACUUAAUAUAUAUAGAUAUAAUAAUAAUAUUCGCCUCUCUUUCGCUCCUACUCUAAACUAAAAGGAGAGGCGAUACUUCCCUCUCUUUCUCUCUAUCAACCUUUCUCUCUUACUGUGGACAGAAUGUACACUCGUGCGCAUUAAUGCCUUCCCUCAGGGAAGGCACUAAUCUUGAGUGUUUUGCCUCCGCUCUAUGUUAUUUCUAUGGCGUAGCGAUUAUUUGAGCGGAAUGUGGAACAGAAAUCUGACAUCUCGUAAAAGAAGAGUUGAGUAAUGGAAAUGACAGGAGUGACUAGAAGAUAUUUGGCGAUCACGGUCGAAUGGCAGUUAAUACGAGAGUAAAUAUUAAACUAUUUUUAUCAUCACAAGUAAAAAUUCAAUCUCGGAAUUUAUAGGAUUAUAAUUUAUGCGAUAGAGAUUGCAUUUUCAUUAACACUGUUGUAUUUUUGUGAAACGUUUUCAUUGACAGUAAUGCUGCAAAUAUUUUCAAGAAAACAUUAGCAUCCGAUAUACCAUCUUUAUGUUAAAGAUAAACAAUGAGUGCUGAAGAAUAAAUACAAGUGGCAAAAGGGUAAUUAAUUGGAUGUUUAUGGCAUGGAAAAGCAGAAUACAACAAUGACAAGACAUUAUUGACAAUUGCUUCUGUUCAUGAUAUUAGUGUAAUAGUGUUACCACUUUAUCAUUAUUUUUGUGAGCAUCGACAAUGGUUAAAAAGUGCAGAACAAGGAAGAAGAUAUUCAACAAAUUCACAUUUCUACUUUAUUAUUUUACAACACGUUACAUGUAACAUCAUUUGCCAAGAUGGUCUAAUAUGAUUGGUGCAUGCUUUAAAGGAUUUGUCAACCAAAUGCAGUCAACGAUAUCAAGAAAUAUGGAAAAAAUCUCAAUGGCUCAUAACUUUAUUCAAAUAGUAAAAUAGUCACGACGAGACGCAGUUAAAGCAAUGACAUUGUUAAUGAAAUUAACUAAGGAAAAGUAAAUAAUUGUAAUGAUACCUAUUUCCGAGGACUUUAUUGAUGUGUCAGUUUCCUAUUUACUAUUAAGAAAAAGUAAAGUUUUUACUUUUAUCUGAUAACUGUUUACAAAAAUUUGUAAUUAUUUAUUCAAAUUUAUUAUUUACUAAAACUAUAGCAAAUUUUAGGCCGAAAAAGAAAUAUUCAA